UGGCUCAGUGGUUUAGAGUGCUUGGCUGUUCUUCAAGAGGACCCAGGUUCAAAUCCCGG
rnacentral:tRNA from 1 species